AUGCCUGCCAACGUAGAGACACAGAGAGCCGAAGGAAACGGCCGAGAACGAGUGAGGACGCCCAGGUUGCUCCGUGGCUUCCCGAGCUGCCCCAGCAGGACAGCUCUGCUGGGACACCAGAGACCUCGGGCACCAGAUCUGCAAGGGGACGGGACCCAGCGCGUGCUCAGUUACCACCGCAGUCCCCCUAGCACCGAGCAGGCCAAGUUAGAGCCACCACCUGAGCUCGUCCCACGUGUCUGGACACAGCCUCGGCCGCCGGGGCUGCUCAGGGUCACCCUGCCAACUGUACACACGCGUGCACAGCACCCACACAAAGUGUGCACAGCCCACACAUAUGCACGCACAUGGGCACAGCCUCUACACACACACACACACACUGCCAAUACACACACAUGCACACUGCCAAUACACACACAUGCACAGCCCACACAUAUUCGCAGUCUCUCCACACACACAGCCCUACAUAGACACACACACACAUGCACAGUUUCUACACACACACACACUGCCAAUAUACACACACACACAGCCCACACACACAGUCUCUCCACAUACACAGCCCUAUAUAGACACACACCCAUACACACACAUGCAGAGUUUCUACACACACAAACACACACUGCCAAUACACACAUACACACUGCCAAUACACACAAUACACAGCCCACACAUAUAUACAGUCUCUCCCACACACACAGUCCUAUAUACACACACACCCAUACACACACACACGCAGUUUCUACACACACACACACUGCCCCACAUACACACAUGCAAUCUCUAUACACACACAGCCCCAUAUAUCCAUUACACACACACACAGUCUCUCCACACACACAGAUCUACUUUUUACACACACACACACACACAUGCACAGUUUCUACACACACACACAGCCAAUAUACACACAUGCACAGCCCACAUACACACAUGCAAUCUCUAUACACACACAGCCCACACACACAGUCUCUCCACAUACAGCCCUACAUAGACACACACACACACGCACAGUUUCUACACACACACACACUGCCAAUAUACACACAUGCACAGCACACAUACACACAUGCAAUCUCUAUACACACACAGCCCCAUACACACACACAUCACAGUCUCUCCACACACACAGCCCCAUAUACACACACACCCAUACAUGCACAGCCCACAUACACAUACACACAUUCACAGCCCCCACACACAUGUGCACAGUGCACACACAAGGACACACACACAGCCCACACACAUGUGCACAGUGCACACACAAGGACACACACACAGCCCACACAUACACACAGCCCACACACACAAGGAUACACACACACAGCCCACGCAUACGCACAGCCCACACACACAAGGACACACACACAGCCCACGCAUACGCACAGUCCACACACACAAGGACACACACACAGCCCACGCAUACACACAGUCCACACACACAAGGACACACACACAGCCCACACAUACACACAGCCCACACACACAAGGACACACACACAGCCCACACAUAUGUGCACAGCCCACACACACAAGGACACACACACAGCCUAUGCAUACGCACAGCCCACACACACAAGGACACACACACAGCCCACACAUACACACAGCCCACACACACAAGGACACACACACAAGGACACACACACAGCCCACACAUACACACAGCCCACACACACAAGGACGCACACACAGCCCACGCAUACGCACAGCCCACACGCACAAGGACACACACACAGCCCACGCAUACGCACAGCCCACACACUUCCAUUUCCACUGCUCUGCUCCUGCGGAGACCAACAAGCACCAGCAAACCUGUUUCUUUUUCCUGAUGCAUUCUGGGAAGUUCAGCCUCCUUUUUUCAAUUUCAAUGGUUAA
ensembl:lncRNA